rfam:Cricetulus griseus cell line CHO-K1, whole genome shotgun sequence.
GUGGUACUCAAACAGUGGCAGCACUUUUUGUUGUGGAAUAAAGUGCCACCAGGUUUUGAGCAUUAC